UACGUAGGUGGCAAGCGUUGUCCGGAUUUACUGGGCGUAAAGCGCGCGCAGGCGGUCGUUCAAGUCGCGUGUGAAAGCCCCCGGCUCAACUGGGGAGGGUCACGCGAUACUGAUCGACUGGAAGGCAGGAGAGGGUAGUGGAAUUCCCGGUGUAGUGGUGAAAUGCGUAGAUAUCGGGAGGAACACCAGUGGCGAAGGCGACUACCUGGCCUGUUCUUGACGCUGAGGCGCGAAAGCUAGGGGAGCAAACGGG
rnacentral:rRNA from 1 species